GUUUUGGUGAUUUAACAGAGGGCUGAUGCCUCAACCGAGUGGAAAGAAUUUACUACACCAGAAGGAAGAAAGUACUAUUUCAACAAAGUGACAAAGCAAUCAAAAUGGACUAUUCCUGACGAGUUAAAGGCGGCACGUGAAUUGGCAG